UCGAUUAAUCUGACACAAGGUCGGGAUGUGUUUCACUGGAAACUCACAACAUCAGGGUCUUACACAGUAGACUCGAUGUACCGUGCGCUUAUGCAUUCUGAGGUGCCAGUGAAUAAUAACAAGAAAAUUUGGAAGUCAAAGAUUCCACUAAAAGUUAAAAUCUUUAUGUGGUAUCUUCGUAAGGGAGUUGUGCUAACCAAAGACAAUCUUGCACGACACAACUGGCCAGGAAGUAAGAAGUGUUGCUUUUAUGCUCAUGACGAGACAAUCAAAUACCUCUUUUUCCAAUGCAAGUUUGCACGUUCUACAUGGUCAGUCAUCCAAAUAGCGUCAAAUUUGUAUCCGCCAACGAGUAUUGCUAAUAUAUUUGGUCAUUGGUUGGAUGGAAUUUCAAAUAGUUUCAAAACACUAAUAAGGAUGGGGGGGUAUGCCUUACUAUGGUCGCUUUGGCUAUGUAUAAACGAUUUGAUUUUUAAUGACAAAAAUGCUUCUCUCUGCAGGUUAUUUUUCGUUGUACGCACUCGCUUCAUACGUGGUCUAUGCUACAACAGGCGGAGCACCAAUCGCUGUUCAAGGCGGUGUGUACGCGGUUGGAGCAGGCGGCUAUGGAGGUUUUUUCCCAACAUGGGUGGCAGCAUAACCUCCGGAUCGAUCCACCGCCGAGUUCGACAUAGGCAAAGUGUUGGUCCAUAG
rnacentral:rRNA from 1 species